UGCCACCUUCUCCGUGAAGCCAGCAUCUCAGCCAAAAAGGAAGCUCUUCCUCCUCCAUCCACUGGCCACGCUGCAGCUGGUCUUUCAGUAAGUCAGAUGAACCACAGGACGUCUACAUCUGACACUGCCGAAAGCUUUACAUUUUAGAUGCAGAAACUUCAAACACAGAGCCGAAACUGCCAUCAGAAACAGGAUUGAGCCAUGGAAACGUCAGCGACAGGGCACAAGGAGCAGAUCAGCGUGCCCAGGCCUGGUUAUGGGAAACGCACAACAAUCCUGUGCUAAUGAGAAGGCUUUGUCGGGCGCCUGUGGGACUUGCGUGCCACCACCACCGCUGCCCCCAGCCCCCAGCACUGAAACGCAUCUUUUGAAAUGCUGCUAGCUCACCACUCGUUUUCUUUGUGCUGGACACAUUGUGGUAGCAGCACCAUCCGGGCUCUGGAAGCUACCAGCUGGUCUUCUUUCCGCCCUGCCUCUGCCCCACGCCAGGGGCCCCUCUGCAUCCCAUCACUGGAUAAAUUUGGAAAAAACAAAUGGCCACUUCCAUUUGGGGACUGAAAGGACACAACAACCCUUCUCACCCGCAGUAAAUCAGUGGGGCACAGCAUGUGCCAAGUGACCCUGCCCGCCCCCCAGAGAAAGGAUGGACAACUGUUGACAGAGCUCCCUUCCUGCCCAGCCAUGGCUGACGGAACGUGUCCGCCAGGACGCCUCCCAGGGGCCCAUGGGUUACCCGCGUGUGCAGUCCUCGGCUUCUCAGAAAGAAGAGUACACACUGUUACGAUCUUUCUCCCCAGGCAUGCCAGGCUGCAUUUCAUAGUUUGAUUGAAAUUAUGCCAUCCAGUCUGUCUCUCUACAAACAAAUGGAAUAUUCUUAGCUGCCAGCAUUUGGAGGCGCACAGCUUGCAUC